rnacentral:rRNA from 1 species
AACGAACGCUGGCGGCAGGCCUAACACAUGCAAGUCGAGCGGACCUUUCGGGGUCAGCGGCGGACGGGUGAGUAACGCGUGGGAAUAUGCCCUUCUCUACGGAAUAGUCCUGGGAAACUGGGGGUAAUACCGUAUACGCUCUUUGGGGGAAAGAUUUAUCGGGGAAGGAUUAGCCCGCGUUGGAUUAGGUAGUUGGUGGGGUAAUGGCCUACCAAGCCGACGAUCCAUAGCUGGGUUGAGAGGAUGAUCAGCCACACUGGGACUGAGACACGGCCCAGACUACUACGGGAGGCAGCAGUGGGGAAUCUUAGACAAUGGGGGCAACCCUGAUCGAGCCAGGCCGGGAGAGUGAUGAAGGCCUUAGGGUUGUAAAGCUCUUUAAGCUGGGAAGAUAAUGACGGUACCAGAAGAAGAAGCCCCGGCUAACUCCGUG